UCUUUCUAAUUUCAAUUUGUACGAAAGGACUUUUGAAUAUAAAAAAGUUUUUUCUCUAGAA
rnacentral:tRNA from 1 species